CGCGUAGGCGGUUUGAUAAGUGGGAUGUGAAAGCCCCGGGCUCAACCUGGGAACUGCAUUCCAAACUGUCAGGCUAGAGUAUGGUAGAGGGAGGUAGAAUUUCCUGUGUAGCGGUGAAAUGCGUAGAUAUAGGAAGGAAUACCGGUGGCGAAGGCGGCCUCCUGGACCAAUACUGACGCUGAGGUGCGAAAGCGUGGGGAGCAAACA
rnacentral:rRNA from 1 species